CAUCACACAGAUCACAGACCAUCUGUAGGUGUGACAAACAUGUGUCUACCUCACACAGACCAUCUGUAGGUGUGACAAACACGUGUCUACCUCACACAGACUAUCUGUAAGUGUGACAAACAUGUGUCUACAUCACACAGAUCACAGGCAAUCUGUAGAUGUGACAAACAUGUGUCUACAUCACACAGAUCACAGACCAUCUGCAGGUGUGACAAACAUGUGUCUACAUCACACAGAUCACAGACCAUAUGUAGGUGUAACAAAUGUGUCUACAUCACAGACCAUCUGUAGGCGUGACAAACAUGUGUCUACAUCACACAGAUCACAGACCAUCUGUAGGUGUAACAAACAUGUGUCUACAUUACACAGAUCACAGACCAUAUGUAGGUGUGACAAACAUGUGUCUACAUCACACAGAUCACAGACCAUCUGUAGGUGUGACAAACAUGUGUCUACCUCACACAGACCAUCUGUAGGUGUGACAAACACGUGUCUACCUCACACAGACUAUCUGUAAGUGUGACAAACAUGUGUCUACAUCACACAGAUCACAGGCAAUCUGUAGAUGUGACAAACAUGUGUCUACAUCACACAGAUCACAGACCAUCUGCAGGUGUGACAAACAUGUGUCUACAUCACACAGAUCACAGACCAUAUGUAGGUGUAACAAACAUGUGUCUACAUCACACAGAUCACAGACCAUCUGUAGGUGUGACAAACAUGUG